AAUGAAGGCUGGCGGCGUGCCUAAUACAUGCAAGUCGAGCGAGACUCUUCGGAGUCUAGCGGCGGACGGGUGAGUAACACGUGGGCAACCUGCCUGUAAGACUGGGAUAACACCGGGAAACCGGUGCUAAUACCGGAUAAUCCUUUUCCUCUCAUGAGGAAAAGCUGAAAGUCGGUUUCGGCUGACACUUACAGAUGGGCCCGCGGCGCAUUAGCUAGUUGGUGAGGUAACGGCUCACCAAGGCGACGAUGCGUAGCCGACCUGAGAGGGUGAUCGGCCACACUGGGACUGAGACACGGCCCAGACUCCUACGGGAGGCAGCAGUAGGGAAUCUUCCACAAUGGACGAAAGUCUGAUGGAGCAACGCCGCGUGAGCGAUGAAGGCCUUCGGGUCGUAAAGCUCUGUUGUUAGGGAAGAACAAGUACCGGAGUAACUGCCGGUACCUUGACGGUACCUAACCAGAAAGCCACGGCUAACUACGUGCCAGCAGCCGCCGUAAGAC
rnacentral:rRNA from 1 species